rnacentral:rRNA from 1 species
GUGGGGAAUAUUGGACAAUGGGCGCAAGCCUGAUCCAGCCAUGCCGCGUGAGUGAUGAAGGCCUUAGGGUUGUAAAGCUCUUUCAGUGGGGACGAUAAUGACGGUACCCACAGAAGAAGCCCCGGCUAACUUCGUGCCAGCAGCCGCGGUAAUACGAAGGGGGCUAGCGUUGUUCGGAUUUACUGGGCGUAAAGCGCACGUAGGCGGAUCGUUAAGUCGGGGGUGAAAUCCUGGAGCUCAACUCCAGAACUGCCUUCGAUACUGGCGAUCUUGAGUCCGGAAGAGGUGAGUGGAACUCCUAGUGUAGAGGUGGAAUUCGUAGAUAUUCGGAGGAACACCAGUGGCGAAGGCGGCUCACUGGCUCGAUACUGACGCUGAGGUGCGAAAGCGUGGGGAGCAAACAGGAUUAGAAACCCGGGUAGUCC